rnacentral:rRNA from 1 species
UACGUAGGGCGCAAGCGUUGUCCGGAAUUAUUGGGCGUAAAGAGCUCGUAGGCGGUUUGUCGCGUCUGCUGUGAAAUCCUCAGGCUCAACCUGGGGCUUGCAGUGGGUACGGGCAGACUAGAGUGCGGUAGGGGUGACUGGAAUUCCUGGUGUAGCGGUGGAAUGCGCAGAUAUCAGGAGGAACACCGGUGGCGAAGGCGGGUCUCUGGGCCGAUACUGACGCUGAGGAGCGAAAGCGUGGGGAGCGAACAGG